AGAGUUGAUCCUGCUCAGGAUGAACGCUGCGCGUGCUACACAUGCAAGUCGAACGGAGUUAUGUAUGAAGUUUCGGAUGGAUUAACAUAACUUAGUGGCGGACGGUGAGUAACGCGUGGGCAACUGCCUCAUACAGGGGGAUAACAGCCGGAAACGGCUGCUAAAACCGCAUAAGCGCACACUGGCGCAUGCCAGAGUGUGAAAAUAUUUAUAGGUAUGAGAUGGGCCCGCGUCUGAUUAGCUGGUUGGUGAGGUAACGGCUCACCAAGGCGACGAUCAGUAGCCGGCUUGAGAGAGUGACCGGCCACAUUGGGACUGAGACACGGCCCAAACUCCUACGGGAGGCAGCAGUGGGGAAUAUUGCACAAUGGGGGAAACCCUGAUGCAGCGACGCCGCGUGAGUGAAGAAGUACUUCGGUAUGUAAAGCUCWAWMARCAGGGAAGACGAUGACGGUACCUGACUAAGAAGCCCCGGCUAACUACGUGCCAGCAGCCGCGGUAAUACGUAGGGGGCAAGCGUUAUCCGGAUUUACUGGGUGUAAAGGGAGCGUAGGUGGUGAAGCAAGUCAGAUGUGAAAGCCCGGGGCUCAACUCCGGGACUGCAUUUGAAACUGUUUUGCUAGAGUGCAGGAGAGGUAAGUGGAAUUCCUAGUGUAGCGGUGAAAUGCGUAGAUAUUAGGAGGAACACCAGUGGCGAAGGCGGCUUACUGGACUGUAACUGACACUGAGGCUCGAAAGCGUGGGGAGCAAACAGGAUUAGAUACCCUGGUAGUCCACGCCGUAAACG
rnacentral:rRNA from 1 species